CCCAAGGUCUUUGAUAAACUGAUUUUAUAUUCAUAUGCUAUUCCCCCUGAGGUGAUCUGCUCUAUGUGUGUGGAUGGUCUAACAAAACUUCAGGCUUGGGCAAAGAAGACAGACAGAAAACAAAAUCCCUGUUUUUCAAAACAAGUUUAAGAGACAUGGACACAACUCAUUGAUGGGGGAUACAAUGAAAAGGGUUUGCUAAGAGCCUACAGUCCACCAAGGACCAGGUUUCCACAGCACAUCAGGGGACCUUCCUCCUCUUCCUACCCCUGUGGAUAAUCCAGCAAAGCCACCUCUGCUUGUAAUGAUUUCAGCCAUUUGUGGGAUACAACAUUUCUGUCUCUGUGCUCGAUAGGUACCGUCUCACUGAAGACCUUCACUAGCUGUAAAAGCCAGAAGCUGCUUCCCCCUGAGGUGCCAAACGCCAGCUAUUGACUGACACUGCU
rnacentral:sRNA from 1 species